AGUGAACGCUGGCGGUAGGCCUAACACAUGCAAGUCGAACGGCAGCACAGUAAGAGCUUGCUCUUACGGGUGGCGAGUGGCGGACGGGUGAGGAAUACAUCGGAAUCUACUUUUUCGUGGGGGAUAACGUAGGGAAACUUACGCUAAUACCGCAUACGACCUACGGGUGAAAGCAGGGGAUCUUCGGACCUUGCGCGAUUGAAUGAGCCGAUGUCGGAUUAGCUAGUUGGCGGGGUAAAGGCCCACCAAGGCGACGAUCCGUAGCUGGUCUGAGAGGAUGAUCAGCCACACUGGAACUGGGACACGGUCCAGACUCCUAGGGGAGGCAGCGGUGGGAAAUAUUGGACAAUGGGCGCAAGCCUGAUCCAGCCAUACCGCGUGGGUGAAGAAGGCCUUCGGGUGGUAAAGCCCUUUUGUUGGGAAAGAAAAGCAGCAGGUUAAUACCCCGCUGUUCUGACGGUACCCAAAGAAUAAGCACCGGCUAACUUCGU
rnacentral:rRNA from 1 species